rnacentral:lncRNA from 1 species
GUUGUUUUGUCUUAAUUUGAUUCCUGUAAGGAUAAGAUAAUUUUGCACGUGUUUUGGUUGGUUCUUUGGUUGUAAAGCUAGGAAUUCAGUAGAAGCAAGGGCAGUUUUUCUAAGACAGGAUAAAUAGUCAACUCUCAUAGCAUUAAACAACUGCACGGGCCGGGAGUGGGUUCAACUACAAUUAAUGCAUCCAAAAUGAAAUUUACAGCCUCGAACAAAAUACAUGUAUUGGACUUUCCAUGACUUGAACGCCUUUUAGGGCUCAGAAAAAUCAAAAGUGGGAGGCAAUAUGGUGUUUUAAUACCUUUCUUGACUCAUCCUAUAUAUUUAGUGGUCCUGUCUCCAUUGGUCUGAUUUGUUGUGUGAUCCACAAACUUAAGCUGUUAUCAUUUCAUAUGUGAAGAGUGCCAGAGUUGUUAUGGCUAAUGGGGGUGUAAAGAAAGCAGGUUCAAACACACCAAGGAUAGCGCAAGUUCCGCAUUUCAACUUCAGCCAUUUUAAGUGGACUCGAGCCACUCUUUGAACAACUGAUCAUCUGGAAACCAA